GAUGAAGAACGUAGCGAAACGCGAUAAGUAAUGUGAAUUGCAGAAUUCAGUGAAUCAUCGAAUCUUUGAACGCACAUUGCGCCCCCUGGUAUUCCGGGGGGCAUGCCUGUUCGAGCGUCAUUACAACCCUCAAGCUCUGCUUGGUAUUGGGCCCCGCCAGUUCUGGCGGGCCCUAAAGUCAGUGGCGGUGCCUUCCGGCUCCGAGCGUAGUAAUUCUUCUCGCUCUGGAGACCCGGUUGUGUGCUUGCCAACAACCCCCAAUUUUUUAAGGUUGACCUCGGAUCAGGUAGGGAUACCCGCUGAACUUAAGCAUAUCAAUAAGCGGAGGA
rnacentral:misc_RNA from 1 species